UAGGGAAUCUUCCGCAAUGGGCGAAAGCCUGACGGAGCAACGCCGCGUGAGUGAUGAAGGUCUUCGGAUCGUAAAACUCUGUUAUUAGGGAAUAACAAAUGUGUAAGUAACUAUGCACGUCUUGACGGUACCUAAUCAGAAAGCCACGGCUAACUACGUGCCAGCAGCCGCGGUAAUACGUAGGUGGCAAGCGUUAUCCGGAAUUAUUGGGCGUAAAGCGCGCGUAGGCGGUUUUUUAAGUCUGAUGUGAAAGCCCACGGCUCAACCGUGGAGGGUCAUUGGAAACUGGAAAACUGGAGUGCAGAAGAGGAAAGUGGAAUUCCAGGGGUGGCGGUGAAAUGCGCAGAGAUAUGGAGGAACACGAGUGGCGAGGGGGACUUUCGGGUCUGAAACUGACGCUGAUGUGCGAAAGCGUGGGGAUAAAACAGG
rnacentral:rRNA from 1 species